GUACCACAGUGGUUUCUUGAAUUUUUUGCUUUUACUGACAAGCCUAAUGCAAUUUUCUGUUGCCUUCAAUAGUGCAACUUUUAAAUAAUCCCAUUUCUCUUGGACUCCAUUUAAAUUGCUCCAGUCUGAUAAGGACUCCUCUACCCAUAUUCUAAUUUUAGAAAAGUCUGUUUUUCUAAAGUCUAAAACUUUUGUUUUUGUGUGGUGUGACUCAGUCACUGUUCUUAUAUUAAACCACACUGACUGAUGAUCACUGGAUCCUAAACUUUCACCUACAGUAAUAUCUGAUACCAGAUCUCCAUUUGUUAACACUAAAUCUAGUAUGGCCUCUUUACGAGUUGGCUCCUCACCAACUUGUUUUAGAGACAAUCCCAGAAGGGAGUUUAGAAUAUGUGUGCUCCUGGCACAAGUAACUACUUUUAUUUUCCAAUUUACAUCAGGAAGAUUAAAGUCACCACUUAGCGCCCCAUCAUAACUACCGUUAUGGCCGAUGCCCACUCAUACAGCCAAUAAUUAGCGGCUGCUAGGGCUGCCAACCCACUCCUACCAAGGAGGUGAGUGUUCCUUUCACCUGGUCUAGGACCAUGCAUACAUGAACCCACCCGCCACCCCAGACCAGUACACAAGCAUUGCCCUCGCGCACCCACGGAUGAUAGAGCACCAAGCAACAUUAAACCCUGCCUCGCUCUCCUGGACAGCCUUUAACCAAAAGUCUCAACGUCUAGAACACAUAAAGAUCCCCAUGCUUCCAACCAACGAGCUAAGAACACUCUACCCUUACCAUGAACAUCACAAUAGAAGAUGGGGCUAGAAUGCUUACUUAAAAUCGGGUCACUAAAACACGAAAACAACACUCUACUUCAUCUAACAAAACUAAGACUAGCCCAUCUCACGUAGGAUGAGAAUCACCACCUUCCCUAUCCAGACUAUGCACAGCAGUUAAGAUGGUUAGGUGUCCCACUCCUUUGUUAUGCUGGUGUACAGUAUUAUUCUACAUGAGCCUAGAGAGAGACAUCUCCCCUCCAACCCCCCACUUAUUUUUUUAUUUUUUCAUUAUUACUUUUUCCUCAAUUGGUGACCUUAGACUAACACAGCCUACUUUUAUUCAUAAACUGUGCACUGUACUCACUUAAAUGUCCACAUAAAUGUCAUACUAUAUUUGAUGCCCAGUUUGUACUAGCUGUUGGGGCAGCACAAACUCACCUGUUUAUUGAAUGCACGAAAAAAUAAAGAAUUUUAAAUAAUUGAUAAAAGGAAUGGAUCAUUUUAGUUACGAAGAAAGGUUAAAAAAUGUUAAUCUCUUUAGUUUCGAAAAACGGCGCCUGAGAUGGGAUAUGAUAACAUUAUACAAAUAUAUUCGGGGCCAG